rnacentral:rRNA from 1 species
AUUGAACGCUGGCGGCAUGCUUAACGCAUGCAAGUCGAACGGUAACAGGCCCCUUGGGGUGCUGACGAGUGGCGGACGGGUGAGUAAUGCUUAGGAAUCUGCCUAGUAGUGGGGGAUAACCCGGGGAAACUCGGGCUAAUACCGCAUACGCCUACGGGGAAAGCGGGGACUUUCGGCCUCGCGCUAUUAGAUGAGCCUAAGU